rnacentral:rRNA from 1 species
CGAUGAAGCCCAGCUUGCUGGGUGGAUUAGUGGCGAACGGGUGAGUAACACGUGAGUAACCUGCCCUUAACUCUGGGAUAAGCCUGGGAAACUGGGUCUAAUACCGGAUAGGAGCGCCUACCGCAUGGUGGGUGUUGGAAAGAUUUAUCGGUUUUGGAUGGACUCGCGGCCUAUCAGCUUGUUGGUGAGGUAAUGGCUCACCAAGGCGACGACGGGUAGCCGGCCUGAGAGGGUGACCGGCCACACUG